GUCUGUUGAUCUAGGGUUACGGGUGUUAGGGUUACGGGGGUUAGGGUUUGAAUAUAAUUGUGUUUUGUUUCAACUGGUUAGGGUUAGGUUUCUAGUUUUGAGUCUGUUGAUCCAGGGUUAGGG